rnacentral:rRNA from 1 species
CAGUAGCCACGGGAAAACGUAGGGUCCGAGCGUUGUCCGGAAUUAUUGGGCGUAAAGGGCUCGUAGGCGGUUUGUCGCGUCGGGAGUGAAAACCAGCAGCUUAACUGCUGGCCUGCUUUCGAUACGGGCAGACUUGAGGCAUUCAGGGGAGAACGGAAUUCCUGGUGUAGCGGUGAAAUGCGCAGAUAUCAGGAGGAACACCGGUGGCGAAGGCGGUUCUCUGGGAAUGUUCUGACGCUGAGGAGCGAAAGUGUGGGGAGCGAACAGGAUUAGAUACCCCCGUAGUCCCUGUCUCUUAUAC